UCUCCGUUGGUGAACCAGCGGAGGGAUCAUUACCGAGUCUAAACAACUCAUCAACCCUGUGAACAUACCUAAAACGUUGCUUCGGCGGGAACAGACGGCCCCGUAAAACGGGCCGCCCCCGCCAGAGGACCCCUAACUCUGUUGCUAUAUGUAUCUUCUGAGUAAACAAGCAAAUAAAUUAAAACUUUCAACAACGGAUCUCUUGGCUCUGGCAUCGAUGAAGAACGCAGCGAAAUGCGAUAAGUAAUGUGAAUUGCAGAAUUCAGUGAAUCAUCGAAUCUUUGAACGCACAUUGCGCCCGCCAGUAUUCUGGCGGGCAUGCCUGUUCGAGCGUCAUUACAACCCUCAGGCCCCCGGGCCUGGCGUUGGGGAUCGGCGAGGCGCCCCCUGUGGGAACGCGCCGUCCCCCAAAUACAGUGGCGGUCCCGCCGCAGCUUCCAUUGCGUAGUAGCUAACACCUCGCAACUGGAGAGCGGCGCGGCCAUGCCGUAAAACACCCAACUUCUGAAUGUUGACCUCGAAUCAGGUAGGAAUACCCGCUGAACUUAA
rnacentral:rRNA from 1 species